rnacentral:hammerhead_ribozyme from 1 species
AUCCAGACGACGAGUCCCGGAUGGGACGAAAUACACAUCCUGGAU